rnacentral:tRNA from 1 species
GGCAGCCUGAUUUUGUGGUUAAAAGUAGGAGCCCUGGAGCCAGAUGGCCUGGGUUCAAAUCCUAGGGCUGCCC